ensembl:lincRNA
CAGGGAGCAGUAAUGUCUCCAUUUAAGACGCAGGAGCCAAUGACUAGCUCAAGCCCACAGGCUCUUGUUUUCUGCUUCCAAAGGCUUAUGGAGGUGUUCUCCUAAACACACAUGGUUCCUGUCCCAAGGACUUCCGGAGCAGCUGGAGAA